AUUGAAAUUGAGAAUUAGCUGUCGACAAUAGAACUGUAAUGUGUGUUGGUGUUAAUCUGUCUGCUCAGGAGUGAUAGAAGCGCACCACACGAGCUGUAACAUCAGUGAAGGUCAACCCGCUGCAUCGGAUCUGACACUUCUUUCUUGUUCUUCCUGCACCCAACCGUUCUGUCGUUCAGUGUCUCUGUAGCCAGCGGAAGGCAUUCACGUUGACCAGAGGGACGGCUCCGAACAGCUUGUUGUCAUCACAGAGAGGUUCACCAACAGCGUGCAGGGCAUGGAUUAGGGGAUGAGAGAAUGCCACUGACUGUGAAAUUGCCUGAUUUUAUCGGGAAUGUCGGAGAGCAGCUGUGCACAAUCCUCAGCCAUAAUCUCGGGACAAGAGAGGACCGUGCACGUAGGUGCUUUUGAACAACAGGGAAUCUUUGAUGGCGUGUCUUUGAUGUUCUACUACCCACAUGCAGAAGCAUGUUUGGUGUGGGCAACGCUCACGACUGAAGCUGUGCGACCGGGGACUGGUUCCUCAUGCCGCUUCUCAGAUAUUUGCAUAGCUGAUGAACGGUGGCCUGAAACCCACUCAGCAGGUUAUAGGCAAACAUAUGCCUGAAAUGCCACAGGGUCAUGAAGCCAGAUCAUCUCCAAAGGCUACUGGCAGUUCUACGUAGGCACAGUAUUAAUACAUAUUCACAAAGAGCAUGAACAGA